rnacentral:lncRNA from 1 species
AUUAAACGGAAAAUCAUGCAUGGUUCAGCAUUUUAUUUAUUCUUUUGAUUCCAGUUCAAAUUUCUUGAUUGUUCGCUAAAGACUAAAGUAUUGGUUUCCAUAAUAAAAGUUAACGAACCACUACUCCCAAAGCUAGCACCACCUAGCGCACCUUAUCAGUGCUGGGAAUCUGUGAUAUCUUGACAUAUUAGAAUGAUGGCACUGGGUCGAAAGUGGCUCUUCAGUCAGGACAACCAAAUAGCUCAAGUCUCUACAAGGGAUCGACACAAGCAGUAUUGUAGUGGGUCUACAUGGGCACCUAAAAAACAAUGUCGAGAGGACCCUAGUGCAGUAUGUUUUCCCAAUACCACACAUCCCCAAGCGACAGUGCUCGAUGGAUUGCCUACAGAAUGGAGAGAAC